UACGUAGGGUGCAAGCGUUGUCCGGAAUUAUUGGGCGUAAAGAGCUCGUAGGCGGUCUGUCGCGUCGGCUGUGAAAACCCGGAGCUCAACUCCGGGCUUGCAGUCGAUACGGGCAAACUGGAGUGUUGCAGGGGAGACUGGAAUUCCUGGUGUAGCGGUGAAAUGCGCAGAUAUCAGGAGGAACACCGGUGGCGAAGGCGGGUCUCUGGGCAACAACUGACGCUGAGGAGCGAAAGCGUGGGAAGCGAACAGG
rnacentral:rRNA from 1 species